CCUACGGGAGGCAGCAGUGGGGGAUAUUGCACAAUGGGGGAAACCCUGAUGCAGCGACGCCGCGUGGGCGAAGAAGUAUUUCGGUACGUAAAGCUCUAUCAGCAGGGACGAAGAAAUGACGGUACCUGAGUAAGAAGCACCGGCUAAAUACGUGCCAGCAGCCGCGGUAAUACGUAGGGUGCAAGCGUUAUCCGGAUUUACGGGGUGUAAAGGGAGCGCAGGCGGCACGGCAAGCCUGAUGUGAAAGCCCGGGGCCGAACCGCGGGACUGCAUUUGGAACUACCGGGCUGGAGUGCAGGAGAGGAAAGCGGAAUUCCGAGUGUAGCGGUGAAAUGCGUAGAUAUUAGGAGGAACACCAGUGGCGAAGGCGGCCUUCUGGACGGUGACUGACGCUGAGGCUCGAAAGCGUGGGGAGCAAACAGGAUUAGAUACCCUUGUAGUC
rnacentral:rRNA from 1 species